UCUUCCAGUGGUAGCCCCUUAUUUUUUGCCAUGAAGAUAAAUAUAAAGAACGGUAUAGCCACAUAUGCGAAACAAAGAAUAGUGCAAAUAUGCAUGUGAAACAAAGAAUAGUGCAGCCAUAUAUGUGAAACCAAAGAUCAAAAAGAUCCAUUGUUAUUUCCAGGAAUGAUUUUGAUGAUCAUAAAAUAUUAAAGCAUAAUU
rnacentral:lncRNA from 1 species